rnacentral:rRNA from 1 species
UACGUAGGGUGCAGGCGUUUAAUCGGAAUUACUGGGCGUAAAAGCGUGCGCAGGCGGUUUUGCUAAGAGAGAUGUGAAAUCCCCGGGCUUAACCUGGGAACUGCGUUUCUAACUGGCAGGCUUGAGUGUGGCAGAGGGGGGGUGGAAUUCCACGUGUAGCAGUGAAAUGCGUAGAUAUGUGGAGGAACACCGAUGGCAGGAAG